AUCUGCUUCUGUUAACGUUCCUGUCGGGGCGGCUGUUACCGAUUUUAAAUGCGGAUCGGCGCUGUGAGAGCGCCAGUGUAGAGACACUGAAGCUCUAAUAGCGCAGUUGAGGGAGCGUGUUGUUGAAGGUCGUGCCGUUAGUUUACCGCCCACAUGUCACAGAAGCGCAGAGAGCAGCGUUAGUGAUUUAUACAGAGAAUCUGCUUCUCAGUCAUCACGUGUUCCAACUGAAUCAGUAGACUUUGACCCUCGUGUGUGUGAGGCAGGUACAAGAUGAGAGUCAAAUGGAUGUGUCAGAAAAAAAUCAGCGAUCUUUUUCUUCGAAACGUCGGCUUAUUCUACUUAAAAUUGCAGGGGCAGUUUCUUCUACCUGCUUCGACCAUACAGAACAUCGCGGAGGAGAUGCAAAACAUACAUGACCUGGGUCAGACAUAUACUUUGAGUAAACUUACUUCGCUGCUAAAAAAUGACAUCAUUAUCAGAUGAGGACGUCACCAAAGUUUGUGAGUCUGUCCGGGGAUUUGAUCUGUUCUCUACAUGUCACGCAGGGCCAGUGAGGACAGCAUUCUCAAGAGCUCAGUCUUACAAAAAAAUGUUCAACUAUGUGGAACCUAAGAAAAUAUGUUUAGGAAGAGAUGAGAACAGCACAGAUCUGUCUGCCUAUUAUGUGCCUGUGAGAGAGACUUUGAAAUGCUUGUUAGAAUCUGAUCUGUGGCGGAGUUGUGUGUCAGGGGAGCACUCAACUGAGUCUCCUUCAGAUGUGACAUUAGUGAUGGUCAGAUAUUAAGAUCCAACGAUUUUUUUUGGUCAACAUCCAUCGUAUUUGAAGCUAGUACUAUACCAGGAUGGCUUUGAGGUCGUUAACCCUUUAGGCUCUGCAAGAACAAGACAUAAAAUAUUAGCUGCUUAUGUGUCUGUUGCUAAUGUGCCACUUCAUGUAUGGUCUGACACAGACCACAUGUCACUUGUUUUAUUGUGCAGAGAGAAAGAUUUCAAAGAAUUUGGGCAUGCUAAGGUGUUCUGAAUUAAUAGCAGACUUGAAGGAAUUGGAGGAGAAAGGGAUUGUACUAACAGAUGAAACAGCAGUCAAAGGAACCAUAUAUUACAUUGCUGGAGAAAAUUUGGACUCGCAUUGCAUUGGUGGCUUCUCUGAAAAUUUCAGUUGCUCAAAACAUUUCUGUAGGUACUGCCUGAUAACACGAUCUGAAUUUCAGGGUGAUGACCUAAAUCUGUGCGGACCGGAGCGCACCAUUGAGAGCUACAAUUCUGCUGUUGAUCGCCUCCUGAUGUGGAAGGCAUAAAAUUCAAGCCAUGCAGAAUUGGAAUUUUCUAAGGCUGCUGCCUCUCAUAAUUGAUGACAGAGGGAAAGAUACAGCAGAUGAUGUGUGGCAGUUGACUCUGCAGCUGAAAGACAUUGUGGACAUGAUAUGUGCUCAGAAAAUCUCUGUGCCUCAGGUUGCAUAUCUUGAUGUUCUUAUUCAAGAAUAUUUAGAGUCAAGAAAGGCUCUAUUCCCAGAGAGUAACCUCAAACCAAAGCAUCAUUAUUUACAUAAUUACCCAGCACUGAUUCUGAAGUGUGGCCUCUUGAUCAGGCUGUGGACAAUGCGAUUUGAAAGUAAGCACAGUUAUUUCAAGAGAUGUACGAGGAAUUUGAAGAAUUUCAAAAACCUCUGCCAUACUCUCUCUGAAAGACAUCAGAUGUUGCAGGCUUAUCUUUCUGCUGGAUCAGUGGGUCAGACUGUCUUGCAAGUUAAAGGUCCUUCUCCAUUUUACUCAGUAUUAUACAGUAAAUCCAUUCAAGAUGCAGUCAGACAAUUUGGCCUCACUGAGACCAAGACAAAGGUCACAGUAGAAAUUCUGUAUAAGGGAACAUCAUACAAGAAAGGACAAUUCCUUGUCACAGGGAACACUGAUUCCAUGGAGUUUGGUGAACUAGUGCUUAUUUUGAUAAAAAAAUGACAUUGUCCAUUUUCUGGUGUCCGUGUAUACAUAGCAGAAUUCCUUCCUCAGUACCAUCUGUACUCAGUUAAGAAAGCCAGUGAAAAGAUGUAGUGUCUAAACAUCAAUGACUUGACUGAUUUCUAUCCAUUGCCAUCUUACAUGAAGGAUGGAUACCAAGUGGUUCCUUUGAAACACAGUGUGUUGUCACACUAAUGAAUGUCUUGGGCUGUUGUUCUGGUGUUAAAUGAGAUUUAUUCACACUUUCAUAGUCAGAAAUGGAUGAUCCAGAGCAAAUCAACAUAAGCAGUGCCAUUACUGAGGUGUUACCAGACCUCCCAGCCUCAAUUCUAAAUAUAGUAGAGGAGACACUACAAUCGUUGGGGGUGGAGACACUGAUGGCUGCAUAAGUUGGGACAUGAACUUAAUGCCAGUGAGUGAGACACCAGAAAGCCAACAGGAGAAAGAAGACAAAAUGAAGGUCCUCAGUGAACAAACUAACUUCAGCUCAGAUGAGGUAAAAACCCUUAUGAAGUGCACCUACUACUCCCAACGUAAAGAGAUGAAUAAGGGUACAGAUCUGCAGUGCUUCAUGGAGAAUUGGCCUUUUUUGUUCCGAGAGAUUGGCAUGGUGGUUCACUUCCAAGAGCUCACUGGAGUAUCACUAAAAGAGACUUUACUAACAAGUGUGGGAAAAAAAGGGAAAACGGCUUCUGGACUUCAUGAGAACCGUUUGUGCGAACAAGAACAAAAGAGUUUUGCAGGCUGUCACAAAGCUGAAAAUUCUGAGAUGACAGUUGGAGUGUUGCCCAGAAGAUGUCAAGGAUGUGGUGCUCCUUCAUUUCUCCUAUUUCGAGGAAAAAGAGGAGAACCUCUUACACUAUGUAGAUGAAACAUGUCUGGCAACAGAAGUACAAGUGGAAAGCUUGCCUGUGACUCCAUGCAUCAUUGUAUGUGCCAAGUUAAUAUUCAGUUUUACUGAAGGAGCCUAAGCUAAUGAACCUCCUGCUAUACCUCAAAGCAGUUCAUGCUGAGUCUAGACCACAAUGACCAAACCUCCACCUUCAUUUCUGAUAUCUGUUUGAUGUUUGGAAGCUAUUACUGCCUCAAUAUCCACUAUCCCGUGUAUUUGGGCUCCACACUUGAGUUCCUUCAGAGGUAUAUGUGUGUGUGUACGUGUACAUAUAUAUAUAUAUAUAUAUAUAUAUAUACACACACACACAUAUGAGUUAAAUCUCCUCUUCAGAACAAAUCACCGUAUAUUGUGGUUGGUUAUGAGUUCUUGUGUUCGCAAAGGUGUUUCUUCAACAUCAAUCCAGAGAGGGGCACAAAAAUUGAAACAAGGAAAAACAAGAAACAACUGUCAGUAAACCCAAGAGUCCUCACCCUCAUCGCAGAUCUCUCUGAUCACAAGUGGAGAGGGACAUGUUCAGGAUGGAUUUAUCCAACUGAACUCUUAUACAGUACUAGCUGUAUGGAACAGUAUGCACUGUUAAUUGUUGACAUUCAGAAUAGUGUUCUUUGAUGUUUUCAGCUAGCUUUAGUGUUUUAAUAAGCAGUGUUUAGUUCUUUUAAAUUUAUGUGAACUGGCUUAUUGUACAUUUUGGUGGAAUUACUAAUGCCUGAUGAUUACUUGAACAGUUCAAAGCAACAGCAAUUAUGUUUGUCAUUUUUGUCGGAGGCUGUUUCAGUUAGCUUAAACAUUUUAAAGGGGAAGACUGACUUUCAUUAUAUAAUUCUGAAAAUGGCAAACAGUAAUUUAGUUCAAGAUUUUACAAUACAUACAGGGAGCUUUCCAAUUUUGGCUUUUUCUUUUUCUUUUGCCAGAAGCAACUUUUCAGAAGAUUUGGUCACUUUUUUUGAUUUGAAAUUGUCUGUGACCCAUGCAGGGAGUUUGCAGAGCUUAAGACCACUUGAGCCUUUGUUUCAGUUCUUUUGUGACACUCCAGAGUAGGUUGAAGGCUGCUGGCAUUGCUAAGAUCUAAUAAUCUAAUAAUCUCCUCUAAGGUAAGUAAACUGAGCACAUGUCUAACAAAUGUUUUAACAUUUUAAGAGUAAAAUGUCUUAAUUAUCUAUACACACCGCUCUUGUAUAAAUUCUGUUUAUUACAAGUGUAAAAAUGUAAGUCUUUCACUCUUGCCACCUUUCAUGCAUUGCUUUCAUACUCCUGUGAGCAGUUAUAGACCUGGAAGUAACAACUUGCUGGCCUUUGUGGCACCUAGGAAAACGGUGAGAUUCUAAUACAUUUAAAUAUCAAAAGCAAGCUGUUUUUGAUUUUAACUUUCAAAGAUGAUUUGUUUGGCAUUUCUGCUUUAUUGGACAGAUGCAGUAUUAAUAGACAGGAAACACAGUGGAGAGAGGGGAUGAUAUGCAGAAAAGGGCCCAAGCUGAAAUGGAACCUUGGAUGCUGCAAUAACAAUAUGUAUAUGUGUUCUACCAGCUUGAAAAAAAUUUGAAAAAGCAAUUGAAAAUAGUAACAACCAUAAGCAAUACACUUAGUCAGCAGUUCAUUUGGAAAAGAAAUUUUUAAUUUUGGCUGCUUUAGUUUCACUUUCACCGGGCCUUUUAGGUUGAAGAUCCUGAAUACAGGUGGGGUAGUGGCGUUUGGGAAAAGGAAAAAAAAAAAAAUGCAGGUGCUUUUGUUUCUAGCCUUUAGGCUGUUUGUUUCCCUGGCUGUAAAUGCUGAUUUGCAGAGUUGAAAUAAAAAGCUUCAGUUUUGGACCAGACCCUUGACUCCACUAAGUUUCAGACAGAACCUAAAUAACACAAUGUAUUGCAUUUAGCUGCAUUAUCAUUAAAUUUCGUGAGCCCACACUUUUGAAUGUCUUACCCUUACUGACCAGUCUGGAACAGGUAGCAGUUUAAUACCAGCUCUCGAUACCUAUCCCUAGUGUUCACCUUAAAAAAAAUAAAUAAAUAAAAGGAGGUAGAUAUGGAGGAAAAGGAAAGACAACGUGAGUAGCGGAGGUUGGGCUGUGAAUAGGCUCAAAAGUGAAAUGACAUCUGUUUCUACCUUUUGCCCUGAUACUCUGUCGACU